CUUCAGAUUUGGGCGAGCCAAAGCGAAUGUUGUGGCUCUGCGAGCACAUCUGAUUGACAUUACAUUCCUUGGGGGAAAGAUCAACUGGAGGCUGUGACCAUUGGACGUCGUAAACUCAUCGAAUGCAUUAUCUGCAGCUGGUCGCAAGUAAAUGACACCAUACUGACCCGAAAGUGGGUGCAUCACCAUGAUCAUCCAACGGCUGCUGCUGCUGAUCAGGUGGCGAAGUUUAUUCUAGUUGCCGGAAUCAGGAGACCAGUUUCCAAGAUAUUGGCUAAGUGCUGUCAGGGUUGCGGAUUCAAACCUUGCGUUUGCGUGUCGUUCUGAGCCAGCAUCACAUGGCGUCGAAAUAACCACUUAUAAGACAAGCCAUAAACAAAGAGGAGUUAUGGUUGAAUACAGGCAAGCUGGAAUUCCUCCACCGUAAUCCGAUACCAGGAACCAGAAUCCAUCUUCGCACACAUUCAGCAAGUUCAACAAUGCCUGAAAGCGAAACUGGUCGGUGGGUUGUGACCGCAUUGCGGGUCUUUUCCUUCUUUGUGAUGCUGGCGAUAUUCAUCUACUCCGUUGCCACACGCCAGAUGGGAGCUUCAAUCGUGUCGUCACAAGCGGCUCUGCUGCUCCUCAUCGGCCGAGUGCCCAAGCAGCCGCAGCUUCCCUGUAUUUAUUACGGUGAAGAAGAUCUACCAGCGCCUCUGCCACCUCCUACAGGAGGCCAAGAGCCUCCGUCGCCGACGGAAACAUCGAUCGAGCCCGAUGAGCGUCCUACAGCAAUUGUAGUUGAAAAUAAUAAAGCGUGAAAUUGUU